rnacentral:rRNA from 1 species
CGGCGGACGGGUGAGUAACGCGUGGGUAACCUGCCUCAUACAGGGGGAUAACAGUUAGAAAUGACUGCUAAUACCGCAUAAGACCACAGGGCCGCAUGGCCCGGUGGUAAAAACUCCGGUGGUAUGAGAUGGACCCGCGUCUGAUUAGCUGGUUGGUGGGGUAACGGCCUACCAAGGCGACGAUCAGUAGCCGACCUGAGAGGGUGACCGGCCACAUUGGGACUGAGACACGGCCCAAACUCCUACGGAAGGCAGCAG